UGCCAGUAGUCAUACGCUCGUCUCAAAGAUUAAGCCAUGCAUGUGUAAGUAUAAAUAAUUUUACUUUGAAACUGCGAAUGGCUCAUUAUAUCAGUUAUAGUUUAUUAGAAAUAUUUUACUACUUGGAUAACCGUAGUAAUUCUAGGGCUAAUACAUGAGUAAAACCUCAACUUCGGAAGAGGUGUGUUUAUUAGUAUGAAAACCAUAUAUCUUCGGAUAUAAUAGUGAGUAAUAAUAACCUUUCAUAUCGUAUGUCGUAAGAUAACGAUAGUUCUUUCAAGUUUCUGCCCUAUCAGCUUUCGAUGGUAGUAUAUGGGACUACCAUGGCAGUAACGGGUAACGAAGAAUUUGGGUUCGAUUUCGGAGAGGGAGCCUGAGAGAUGGCUACCACAUCCAAGGAAGGCAGCAGGCGCGUAAAUUACCCAAUCCUGACAUAGGGAGGUAGUGACAAUAAAUCACAAUGCGGAACUUUUAGUUUUGCAAUUGGAUUGAGAACAAUGUACAAAUGUUAUCGAUAAACAAUUGGAGGGCAAGUCUGGUGCCAGCAGCCGCGGUAAUUCCAGCUCCAAUAGCGUAUAUUAACGUUGUUGCAGUUAAAAAGCUCA
rnacentral:rRNA from 1 species